UACGUAGGGGGCAAGCGUUGUCCGGAUUUAUUGGGCGUAAAGAGCGUGUAGGCGGCCGUACAGGUCAGCUGUGAAAACUCGAGGCUCAACCUCGAGACGUCGGUUGAAACCGUACGGCUAGAGUCCGGAAGAGGAGAGUGGAAUUCCCGGUGUAGCGGUGAAAUGCGCAGAUAUCGGGAGGAACACCAGUGGCGAAGGCGACUUCCUGGCCUGUUCUUGACGCUGAGGCGCGAAAGCUAGGGGAGCAAACGGG
rnacentral:rRNA from 1 species